rnacentral:rRNA from 1 species
CGGACGGGUGAGUAACGCGUGAGAAUCUGCCCUUAGGAAGGGGAUAACAGCUGGAAACGGUUGCUAAUACUCUAUACGCCGAGAGGUAAAAGGAUUUAUCCACCUUAGGAAGAGCUCGCGUCUGAUUAGCUUGUUGGUAAGGUAAUGGCUUACCAAGGCGACGAUCAGUAGCUGGUUUGAGAGGACGACCAGCCACACUGGGACUGAGACACGGCCCAGACUCCUACGGGAGGCAGCAGUGGGGAAUUUUCCGCAAUGGGCGAAAGCCUGACGGAGCAAUACCGCGUGAGGGAUGAAAGCCUGUGGGUUUUAAACCUCUUUUCUCAAGGAAGAAGUUCUGACGGUACUUGAGGAAUAAGCAUCGGCUAACUCUGUGCCAGCAGCCGCGGUAAUACAGAGGAUGCAAGCGUUAUCCGGAAUCACUGGGCAUAAAGCGUCUGUAGGUUGCCUACCAAGUCUGCUGUUAAAGAUCAGGGCCUAACCCUGGGAAAGCAGUGGAAACUAGUAGGCUUGAGUGUGGUAGAGGUAGAGGGAAUUCCUGGUGUAGCGGUGAAAUGCGUAGAUAUUAGGAAGAACACCAAUGGCGAAAGCACUCUACUGGGCCAUAACUGACACUGAGAGACGACAGCUAGGGGAGCAAAUGGGAUUAGAUACCCCAGUAGUC